UAGGGAAUCUUCCGCAAUGGGCGAAAGCUUGACGGAGCAACGCCGCGUGAGUGAUGAAGGUCUUCGGAUCGUAAAACUCUGUUAUUAGGGAAGAACAAAUGUGUAAGUAACUAUGCACGUCUUGACGGUACCUAAUCAGAAAGCCACGGCUAACUACGUGCCAGCAGCCGCGGUAAUACGUAGGUGGCAAGCGUUAUCCGGAAUUAUUGGGCGUAAAGCGCGCGUAGGCGGUUUUUUAAGUCUGAUGUGAAAGCCCACGGCUCAACCGUGGAGGGUCAUUGGAUACUGGAAAACUUGAGUGCAGAAGAGGAAAGUGGAAUUCCAUGUGUAGCGGUGAAAUACGCAGAGAUAUGGAGGAACACCAGUGGCGAAGGCGACUUUCUGGUCUGUAACUGACGCUGAUGUGCGAAAGCGUGGGGAUCAAACAGG
rnacentral:rRNA from 1 species